rnacentral:rRNA from 1 species
GACAGAGGUGCCGAGCGUAGGCGGAAUCACUGGGCUUAAAGCGUGUGUAGGCGGACCGUUAAGUACCUUGUGAAAUCCUGCGGCUCAACCGCAGAACGGCUGGGUAUACUGGCGGUCUUGGGCCACCUAGGGGCAGAUGGAACAAGUGGUGGAGCGGUGAAAUGCGUAGAUAUCACUUGGAACGCCAAAGGUGAAAACAGUCUGCUGGGGUGUGCCGACGCUGGAGACACGAAAGCCAGGGGAGCGAACGGG